UACGAAGGGUGCGAGCGUCGUUCGGAAUUAUUGGGCGUAAAGGGUUCGUAGGCGGGAGGGCAAGUCAUAUGUGAAAUACCUUAGCUAAACUAGGGGGUUGCAGAUGAGACUGUUUUUCUUGAGAGGCGGAGAGGGUGAUGGAAUUGCUGGUGUAGGAGUGACAUCCGUAGAGAUCAGCAGGAACACCGGAGGCGAAGGCGAUUGCCUGGCCGUUAUCUGACGCUGAGGAACGAAAGCGUGGGGAGCAAACAGG
rnacentral:rRNA from 1 species